CCAAAUGUAAUUCUUUCGAAAAAACUCCAAGAGAUGGGCGAGAUUUUUAAAAAAACAAUUGGCAACAUUAAACGGCGUUUUGAACAAUCAGCAAAUAACACUAUAAUACAUAAGCCACAUACAUAAUUAAUAGUGCACAUUCUGUAAAGUGGGGAAUAAGAAUGAAGAUGAUAUGCCCGGAAAGUUUGUCAAAAUUCCAAUACCUAAAAGAAAAUUUAUUAUAAGGAUGCUAAAUACAACAUCGCCCUAUUAGAAAUCAUAAUGGACUAAAGCUUUUAACAUUUCUUACAAUCCUGAUAAAAUUUUCUCUUUAAUUACCAUAAUCAUUGUUACUGACAGGCAUAUCGUCGCAAAUAUCUGCAAGAGAAUGAAGUAACGAACCCGCUUAAUUUUAUUCAAACAAGAACGACUCUGGAACCAAAAAUACAGCAAGUUUUAAUUCAAUUAAAAGAUCAUCCAAUUCUAAAAAAUAAAAGUAAUUACAAAUCAUUUUUAAAUCAAUUGCACGAUAUUUUUCGUACAACCAGAAAAAUGACUAUUUGCGAACGCUGUAAAAUAAAGAAAUAUUAACUUU